rnacentral:rRNA from 1 species
AUGUCAGGGCUUCGGCGCUGCGGCCGGAGCUGCCGUUCAAGGUGGCUGAACUACCUCCGUCCGGGGCUGAAGCACGGCAACUUCACGCCGGCGGAGGACAGGAUCAUCUGCGAGAUGUACAGAAAGAAAGGAAGCUGCUGGUCCGUCAUCGCCGCCAAGCUCCCCGGGAGGACGGACCUCGCCAUCAAGAACUACUGGAACAGCACGCUCAAGAAGCGGUUCCCCCGCCCCCGCGCGGCGAGGAGCUGCCGCCGCCGCCGCACCGGCGGCACGAGCACGUCGUCCGACGCCACGAGCCUGGACCUCGCGCUGGUGGUCUACGACGAGGAGAGCACCAGCGGCACAGCGCGGGACCUCCCGCUGGUCGUAUGCAACGAGGAGGACAGCGCCACCACGGCGCGGGACCUCCCGCUGGUCGUGUACAACGUCAACGAGGCGAGCGCCACGGCAGGGUCCUCGUCGAGCCACGCCGGCGCCGUCUCGGCCGGACCGCCAGUGCAAGCGCGUGCCCAACCGCCACUGCUGCCCACAGCCGCCGCGAACGAGGAGCCGAUCGCGGCGGUCCCGGUCAGCGGGCCUGUGAAGAUGGAACCGCGGACGCCGCCACCGCCAGCUGAUGAAACCAGCGAGGAGAUGGACAUCAACUGCUGCCCCAUGUCUCCGCUCCCCCUGGGGCUCAUGGAGCCGGAACUUCCUUGCAUUGCCAUGGAUCUGCCUCACAUUGCCGGUUUCGACGACAUCGACAGCCUCCUCUCCUACUUUGACCACUGA